CUGGGUGUGGCUCAGUGGUAGAGCCCCUGCCUAGAAAGCAUGUGAGAGGUCCUUGGUUCCAUCUCUAGCACACACA
rnacentral:tRNA from 1 species